UGAGGUUUGUGGCAGCUGUCACACAGUUGAUUGCCAGAGUUGAUUUGGCUGAUCUGGCUGGCUAAGCAAGCCUUUCCUUCUUCUCU
ensembl:misc_RNA predicted gene, 22262